ensembl:lncRNA
AUGUGUAACCGCAGCAUCCCCAACUUCAAGUUUUGCGGGGAGUUAAGUUCGCCCUGGGAGCCCUUUAGGCUGCGGGGCCUGGUGUUGGCGGAAGGCAUUCGCUUAGGACCCCCGCCUCUGGCUCGGGGGCGCAGGGCCGCUGGCCACUCUGCCUGGCGUGGCCGUGGUGGGGCCCAGUCGGUCCGGACCCCCGGCCCAUUUCCUACCUUCAGGCACUUCAGAGAAAAACUAAUGACAGCCUCGUAUCCUGGGCGUCAUCUUGUGUUCACCCUCAACCGUGUCCGCUCCCCUUGCCUGUCGAGGGGACCCUGCUAUUUCCACGGAUGCCUGUGUUGUGAUUCGUCUUCGGCUGUCUUGCUUGUCACCUCUCGUUUCCCAAAAAAAAUAAAAAGGAGGAAAUAGAUAUUCAGAUUCAUCUUUCAUCCAAAUGGAGUUUUGCUGCAAAGAAAGGAAGUUAAUUCUCACUCUAUAGGAUCUGGAGGUAAAGCCGCCUUGAGAUACGCUGAGAGGUAACUCAGAACACAGUUCUCCUAGAACUGACUGCCUGAGGGGCAAAAUUGACAAGGAUUUUUUAAGACAGAAACCUUCCGGCAUCCUAACUUCAACAUGACCAUUUUCAAAGUUUGUGUGUGUGUGUGUGUGUGUGUGUGUGUGUGUGUGUUUCCCUUCCCUUGCUUCAGGAGACAUGUUUGCAUGAGGUAUUUGAAAUUCAGGAACAUUUUGAUUCUUCUUGAAGUGCAGGAAAUAGAUUGGCUCCUUCAGAAACAAAGAAGAGCCUCACCCUCAGAAGCGCUUAGAAAAUGGAGUCUGGCAGACACUCCCCAUGGUGGUCAGGAGAGAGAUCCACACGUGAAAGGUGGGACUUGAAUAUAUGCACCAAUUGGCCGAACAGAAACAAAAACAAACGAACAAACAGAAAAAAAAAAAACAACAACCAACCAACAAAACCCGGAGCCCCCCCUCCCCCCUCACACAACCCAAAGGGAGUUGGAACUCCAGUGCAGUAAAGAAAGCUCAGGAGAAGGGGUAAGGGUCUGAGGAGUCCAUAGAGGAAUUAAGAGCAAACCAGGCCUCAGAACCAAACAGUGAGGCAGUUCAUCCAAGGUGGGGGGCGUGGGGAGAAGAGGUGCUUCUCCGUUUUAGUGACAGGAAGCUGUCCCAGUGCAGGCAGGGGAUGGAGGCGGGGGAGGGACCCCAGGGCCCCCUUUCUGGAGGAGCGCAAAGCUCUCCAGUUUCUCGGGGGCCUCAUUUCCGGCCUUCAAGUUCCAACCCUUGAGGCCUGCUCCCCCGUGGGGACCCUCGGAGCAUCCUGGGAAAGAGACACGAUCCAACUGAUGGCUCCAGGAGUCGGAACAGUGUGCAGAAAGAAGCCAGUGGACUCUGGAUUUCAGCCGACUGCAACCUCACCUCCCCCGCGGAUGGGGCCAGGUGGAGCUGGGGAGGUAGACUAGGGCAGCAGGUGACUGUGGAUUUGAAAUCCAAGCAGCGUCCUGUGAGAAAAGUUCAGCACCAGCUAUUCCUGGCGUCUGCUCCCAGCCUCCUCUGGCCCUUUAUCGUCUUAAGGAGACUGUCCUGCUUGUCACCUCUCGUUUCCCAAAAAUAAAAGGAGGAAAUAGAUAUUCAGAUUCAUCUUUCAUCCAAAUGGAGUUUUGCUGCAAAGAAAGGAAGUUAAUUCUCACUCUAUAGGAUCUGGAGGUAAAGCCGCCUUGAGAUACGCUGAGAGGUAACUCAGAACACAGUUCUCCUAGAACUGACUGCCUGAGGGGCAAAAUUGACAAGGAUUUUAAGACAGAAACCUUCCGGCAUCCUAACUUCAACAUGACCAUUUUCAAAGUUUGUGUGUGUGUGUGUGUGUGUGUGUGUGUUUCCCUUCCCUUGCUUCAGGAGACAUGUUUGCAUGAGGUAUUUGAAAUUCAGGAACAUUUUGAUUCUUCUUGAAGUGCAGGAAAUAGAUUGGCUCCCUUCAGAAACAAAGAAGAGCCUCACCCUCAGAAACGCUUAGAAAAUGGAGUCUGGCAGACACUCCCCAUGGUGGUCAGGAGAGAGAUCCACACGUGAAAGGUGGGACUUGAAUAUAUGCACCAAUUGGCGAACAGAAACAAAACAAACGAACAAACAGAAAAAAAAACAACAACCAACCAACAAAACCGGGCCCCUCCCCUCACACAACCCAAAGGGAGUUGGAACUCCAGUGCAGUAAAAAAGCUCAGGAGAAGGGGUAAGGGUCUGAGGAGUCCAUAGAGGAAUUAAGAGCAAACCAGGCCUCAGAACCAAACAGUGAGGCAGUUCAUCCAAGGUGGGGGGCGUGGGGAGAAGAGGUGCUUCUCCGUUUUAGUGACAGGAAGCUGUCCCAGUGCAGGCAGGGGAUGGAGGCGGGGGAGGGACCCCAGGGCCCCCUUUCUGGAGGAGCGCAAAGCUCUCCAGUUUCUCGGGGGCCUCAUUUCCGGCCUUCAAGUUCCAACCCUUGAGGCCUGCUCCCCCGUGGGGACCCUCGGAGCAUCCUGGGAAAGAGACACGAUCCAACUGAUGGCUCCAGGAGUCGGAACAGUGUGCAGAAAGAAGCCAGUGGACUCUGGUUUCAGCCGACUGCAACCUCACCUCCCCCGCGGAUGGGGCCAGGUGGAGCUGGGGAGGUAGACUAGGGCAGCAGGUGACUGUGGAUUUGAAAUCCAAGCAACGUCCUGUGAGAAAAAGUUCAGCACCAGCUAUUCCUGACGUCUGCUCCCAGCCUCCUCUGGCCCUUUAUCGUCUUAAGGAGACUGUCCUGCCAUCAGCCGCAGAAGCCAGUCUGUCUUCGGAGGUGUGGGAGGUUGCCAUAUGGGGGAGAGGGGCUGAGGCGGGAAGUGCCAGAACAAUCCAAGGGCUCUGUAUGUCCCUCUGGGCAGCUGUGGGCUUGGAAACACCAGUUCAGAUGCCUCAAGUAAGCCCUGGGGACAAUGCCCAGACAUCUGAGACUCCUCGGACCCUGGAGGCUAGCACUGUCCCCAACCAGGGCUCAGGGUGUGUCCUGCAGCCUCCCAGCUGCACCUAGAAACCAGAUGGCCGGGGAGAUCCUGCUCUUCUGUGGCCUCAAGCUCUCCUUCUCCCUGCCUGGUCCACUCCAGCUGAAGUCCUGAGGCAGGGAGGAGAAAGACUCGAGGACCGGAGCAAUGGCUGCCUGAACUGAACCAAGAGGGCACUUGUAAGGGGAGAUGCAAAACAACCAGGAAAACAUGCCAGAGGUCACCUCAAGGGCACAAGGCACAAAAAAAGAAAGCAGAAGGAAUAUCGGUUGAACAGUGAAAAGCCCCGAUGAAAAAGCGAAUUCCUGAUCAGUACCACCCUCAAAUAGCUUAUAUCAUUAAAUAGAGGAGUGGGGAGGAAAAAAAAAAAAUACAGCAGCAACACAAAUGUAAUCUUGGCUUCAGAGACAGUGUCCAGACGCUCCUGAGCUGUCGACCCCGCCUUCCCCAGGACAGUCACUUCAAGAUUCGAGUGUUUUGCUUCACAGCAGAAAGUUCUUCAGUGUCUGAGAAGUUACGCCGUUCUAGGUUUUCUUGGAUUUGCACUUGGCAAACUUGUUAAGUUAGUAGUUCCC